GACGAACGUUGGCGGCGUGCUUAAUACAUGCAAGUCAACUGAAGCAGUGGUAGCAAUAUCGCUGUGGAGGUGGCGCACGGGUGAGUAACACGUAGGUAAUCUGCCUUCAGGUCUGGCAUAACUCCGGGAAACCGGGGCUAAUAGCAGAUGAUGCAGCGGCUCGACAUCGAGACAGUUGUUAAAGCUAUGGCGCCUGAAGAUGAGCCUGCGUCUGAUUAGCUAGUUGGCGGGGUAACGGCCCACCAAGGCAACGAUCAGUAGCUGGUCUGAGAGGAUGAUCAGCCACACUGGAACUGAGACACGGUCCAGACUCCUACGGGAGGCAGCAGUAAGGGAUAUUGCUCAAUGGGAGAAAUCCUGAAGCAGCAACGCCGCGUGAGGGACGAAGGGCUUUUGCUUGUAAACCUCUGUAGUGAGAGAAAAAAAUCCCAAUCUUUGGGACAUGAUGGUAGCUCAAAAGUAAGCCCCGGCUAACUACGUG
rnacentral:rRNA from 1 species